UACCAGCACCCCGAGUGGUCGGGACGAUUAUUGGGCCUAAAGCAUCCGUAGCCGGUCUUGCAAGUCUUCCGUUAAAUCCAGCUGCUUAACAGAUGGGCUGCGGAAGAUACUACAAGACUAGGAGGCGGGAGAGGCAAGCGGUACUCAGUGGGUAGGGGUAAAAUCCAUUGAUCCAUUGAAGACCACCAGUGGCGAAGGCGGCUUGCCAGAACGCGCUCGACGGUGAGGGAUGAAAGCUGGGGGAGCAAACCGG
rnacentral:rRNA from 1 species